CUUCCACUUGGACACCAUGCUUGAACCUAAUCACUGCUGUAUUCUCCUUAUAAACUGGGCUUGUUAACAGCCACCCGCAAACUGUUUUCAUUAAAACUUCUACAGAAUAAGCAGCCGUGGUGUCAGAAAACCAUUACAGAGAACAUGUUCCCAUGUCAGGCAGGCAAGGAGGGGGGGGGAUGAAAAGCAGUUGUUGCUACAGUCACGUUACAGCUUGGAUUUUUAUGAGAUAGUGUCUGUUCCAUAUGCUAUCGUCUAGUGCCUGUGGGCUCUAAAAGGAACAAAGGGGUCAGGCUUAUAACAAAAGGGGGUGAAGAGAGCUUGCAGGGAGAUGGAGAGCCUGACGCAGUGAACCCCUGACUUCCGAAUGUAGAGCAAGGCCAGGAGGGAGAGACCUUGGGGUGGCAGCAUGAGUUUCUUUGCUCUGAUCCCUCAGGCCAUACAGCAUAAGGAGUCUGAGAGAGAAGAGGGUGUUGCCUACAUGUUCUGUAGCUCAGGGCUUGGGGUUAGGUCUUGUGGGGAGAAAGGUUUGAGGCUGCCCUCAUGCCUUUCUUGCUGGGCAGAGGCAUCUGCUCUGCUCUUUGGAGGCCUUGCUGCUGGGACUGCCAAGCUGCUCCUUUUUCCCAACUCAAGCAUACCUGAGACAAGCUCCUGAGAUCACCUGUCCAGUGGUGCGGCUUCUGUGUGUAAAGCAGCAGGGCCUGGGCUUUGGGAUGGAGAGCCAGGACGCACAAUUCUUGGCCCUGCAUGAAACUGCGGCUUUGAUUGCAUCUGUUUGUGACUGGAUCCAGACAAAAUGCUGCCCUGGAGCUAAGCAGAGACAGAAACUUGGUCCAUUUCCCUAGAAGGCUGCCAGCCCAAGAAGGGGCAGAGCAGAAGAAAGGCCAAAGAGGCUGUGGCCAUAGCCCACUGUUCAGUUGUUGGCCUCCUCAGACCAAGGUCCAGAGUUUAAUACCUUUGUUAGGCUGGGCAGAAGGAGGGACAGACCCUCUGCUUGGCCAUGUGUGGAUUUUAUUUCCCACUCCCUGCUUGGUGCCAUAAAUCUUAGAGGCAAGGAUCUGAAUGCUAAGCAGUGCCCAAGGCCCUGGCAUGUGGAGGGAUAUCUGGGGGUGACCGUAGGGAGGAUAAUGUAGAAGAUGCAAUGUUACUUCGGGCAGAGUGUGGCAAGGCUGCGACCUGGCUUUCCACAGUAGGCAGCUCUUUAAAAGGCAAGGCAAUUUUCAGCAUUGGGAAGGUGGUGCGCUGUGCUCCGAAAUCAUGGGGAGAGCCAGGAUGGAAUGCCUGAAAAGCUGUCUGCGUGGAAUAUCUCUCUCUGCUGUCUGCAAAUCAAAGGUCCAGACAGACAUUUCAUUGUAAAUAGACUCAGAAAGGCACUUGGGGUUUUUUUUAAUACAAAUGGCUGUUGUAUUACAGUGCCAGGAAGGUAAAAAGCCAGCUCAAAAUGCUCAAGCAGCAGGACCCCAAACCCAACAUGGACCACCUGAGCAUAGAGCUGUCCUGCAUAUCUCUGAGGAAUACAACAGUGAGGUACAGCAUAGUUCAGGUCUGCGGUCUCUCCUGUACCUUUUAAAUACUGGACUCUACCACAGUCUCAAUAGGAAAGUUAGAGCUUUCAACACAUGAAUGUUUCAUUGAACUCAGGAUGUUGGCACACAGUUUGUAGUCAGAUCUGUUUGAAAGUUAUUCUCUGCUGCUGAAGUCUCUCUCCUAGGGCUCGGUGUUUCAGCAGACACCAUUCUUGUAGGAACAGGCAGGAAGUGGGGAGGGCUUCUGGUGCUAGCUUCAGGCUGAGAAGACGGGAGUUCACAUCACAUAUUACCUAUGUGAUCUUGGGCAAGUCUCUUGGGUUAGGUCUUAGGCAGUGCCCAGCAUCAGCAGCAGCCUCAGAUGUGCCGCCUUUCUCUUCACGCAUUGCCUCUGGGCACAGAAACAACACAGCUACUUUGCACAGCACCAUGGGUGGGCUAAUUAGCACGGGGGCAUGUAAUGCGCACUGCUUCCAGUUCAGGAAGCAACCCAGGGUGCUGGAGGGCAUGGCCACCUGGCUGCAAAGGUUUGUGGGGUCUCAGUUUCUGUGCCUCAGUUCCUUAUGUGUACUACGAAGAGACCAACACUUCUUUACCUCACACAGCCCAUGUCAGAAUAAAUUAAUAAUUGACAGGUGCUCAGAUACAAACAGCAACAGAGGCCAAGUAAGUGCAAAGAUAGAGAGGAAGGGCUGGUACCUACUCUAGGGCUUUUUUAAAUAGCUAGCUAUCCCUGGGGUGCUGCCUUUCGGCAGACAUUGGCAGCUGUGUGUAACAGCAGAAUCCAAGGGACCUCCGGUGGUCCAAGUUCCCGAAGUCUGGGUGACACCAGUUCUCGGCUAGCACUAAUUCUACCACUGGUCCAGUGCCAACAGUAGCAGUGGUGGGAAAGUGCCAGUGUAGACAGGACGUAGGUGUUUAUACCACUGUGUCAUCUAGACCUGCUGGCUGGAAGGCUGGAUGACAGGGUGGUGAGAGGUCUGUGGCCUGUCUGGCAAUCUCUGCAUCAGUGCUGGAGCAGCGCCAUUGCUAGACAACCAGCGGGAAAAGAGCUGGAGAGCUGUGAUGCGGUUGCAUUCAGUGUUAUGUUGAGGGACAGCAUGCCCUUCUCCAAUCCACUCAGCAUGUACUUAUUCUAAUAACUGCUCCUUGGAGAGAGAGCCCUGCGUUAAGUUUAUAGCUCACAGUCCAAAUCAGUCAGAGAAGGCAGCCAAAACUGCCUCUCUAAAUCCCAUUGCUCCCUCAGGUUUUGCUCAUGAUACAUAUUUAGGGAAAUGAGAAGAAAGUGGUGGUGGAGGGGGAGGGGCCUAAUCCAAUUUAAGGCCCUGGCAUUAGACUAGGUAUGUACUUGGCUUGGAGGCGUUAGCCACAAAUGGGGUCUACAGGAAAGCAUUAGCCUCAGCACUUCCAGAGGAGCUGGUGUUGCGGAGGGCUGGGCAUGGCAAACUAUAAUUAAUAUCUGUAAGGAAUUAGAAAGGAUUUGGAGAGAAAAAUGUCCCUAUUUUAAGUUGAAUAGCAAUUUGAUCUCAAUAUCAUUAAAACUCCACUUUCAAAGGCUGCUGGGUUUUUAUUUCUUUUUUUUUUCUGCUUACAGAAGUCACUCACUGAGUGGAAAGGGAAAAAGAGCUUUUGGAAGCUGUUCACACAGUGCAGACAGAAGCCCAAAAUAAAUGAGACAUGAGUGAAGAAGCAGGGAGGAGAUGAUGGAAGCUGUGAACAUUAACACCUGCCUCCUUGAGUCUAAGAUGCCAGUGAUGGAGUCGGGAGACUCAGCUGUAGAGCUCAUCACUACAGAGCCCUUGGGGCACCUGGGCUGCAGCGCGCUUUCUGUGUGCGCAGAACCUGAGGCAUCUUUGUAGGGCUUUAGAUGCCCUGGGAAAACCCUACUGUUUGCUGGGUGUUCACUUAACGCCAUUUAGGAGCCAGCUUUUAACUCCUUCCUGACAGGAAGGUCAAAUCCCUGUUUGCAGGGCUUCACACACUUCUCUUCCUCCCCAGGGAUCAGGUAUCAGAGGAAUUAGGAAAGAAACAGAAUCUAAAUCCUUCAGUUCCUCCUCAAACUGCUUCUCAUACCACAAGGUGCCUCCAGGUUAAUUCCUUUCCUAGUAUCUCCCCUCCUUUAUCCUUAGAAAGAGGAGAAGAGUGAGAUGGGAUGCCCUGGAGCAAGGCCCUUCUCAUCCUACCAGGAAUUUGGCAUCACGGAUCAUCCUGAUUAGCACCCAGGUUCUUCCAGCUCGCAGGACCAAUCAGCAAUGGCUCCUGUGGCAGACUCUUGUGUUGCCAGAAUUCCCGUGGGCGUCUGAUGUCAUCGGAUGUGGGUUUAGUGAGACGGGUUUGCCGCAGAGGACUGGUUAUUGCAUCUCUGAAAACCACUGAAGGAUUCUGAUACUUCCUGCCAUAAGCCUUGCUUGCUGAAUUUCCUAGUUCCAUUAAACUUGUAUUGCUGCA